AAACUAACAAGGAUUCCCCUAGUAACGGCGAGUGAAGAGGGAAGAGCCCAAGUUUGAAAGCUGGCACCUUCGGUGUCCGCAUUGUAAACUCGAGAAGUGUUAUCCGCGCCGGACCAGGCUUUAAAUCCUUUGGAAUAAGGUACCUUAGAGGGUGAUAGUCCCUUUCAUAGUCUGGAAUCCCCGGGGCUUUGUGAUGCGCUCUCCAAGAGUCGAGUUGUUUGGGAAUGCAGCUCAAAAUGGGUGGUAAAUGCCAUCUAAGGCUAAAUAUAGAGGAGAGACCGAUAGCGAACAAGUACCGUGAGGGAAAGAUGAAAAGAACUUUGGAAAGAGAGUUAAACAGUACGUGAAAUUGCCGGAAGGGAAGGGUAGGAAGUCAGAUAUGUCUUGGCGGAUUCAGCUUGACCUUUCGAGGUUGGGUGUAUUUCCGUCAUGGACAGGCCAACAUCGAUUUUGGCUGCCGGAUAUUGGUAGAGGGAAUGUGGCACUCUUUUCGGAGGGUGUGUUAUAGCCCUUUGCUUGGUACGGCGGCUGGGAUCGAGGAACGCAGUGCACCCGUCAGGGCGGGCCUUCGGGCACCUUUGCACAUAGGAUGCUGGCUUAAUGGCUUUCUGCCAC
rnacentral:rRNA from 1 species